rnacentral:rRNA from 1 species
AUACGGAGGGUGCAAGCGUUACUCGGAAUCACAGGGCGUAAAGCGCGCGCAGGCGGCUAUUUAAGUUGGAUGUGAAAGCCUACGGCUCAACCGUAGAACUGCAUCCAAAACUAUUUAGCUAGAGUGUGGGAGAGGAAGAUGGAAUUAGUUGUGUAGGGGUAAAAUCCGUAGAGAUAAAUAGGAAUACCAAAAGCGAAGGCAAUCUUCUGGAACACUACUGACGCUGAGGCGCGAAAGCGUGGGGAGCAAACGGGAUUAGAUACCCUAGUAGUCC